AAAAUUAUAGCUAUUAGCAGAUCGGUUACGUCGAUUAGAUCCUUUUUAGGUGUUUUUA
rnacentral:tRNA from 1 species